rnacentral:rRNA from 1 species
UACAGAGGUGCCAAGCGUUAGGCGGAAUCACUGGGCUUAAAGCGUGUGUAGGCGGACUUCUAAGUACCUUGUGAAAUCCCCCGGCUCAACCGGGGAACGGCUGGGUAUACUGGGAGUCUUGAGCCAGCUAGGGGUCGCCGGAACAAGUGGUGGAGCGGUGAAAUGCGUAGAUAUCACUUGGAACGCCAAUGGUGAAAACAGGCGACUGGGGCUGUGCUGACGCUGAGACACGAAAGCCAGGGGAGCGAACGGG